rnacentral:rRNA from 1 species
UGAUGGGGUUAGUCUUCGGACGAAGCUCUUGAUCGAAGCCCCGGUAAACGGCGGCCGUAACUAUAGAUUGUUGUAGUUACGCAAAUAAACUUGGCUAUAUGCUGGAAACUCCGGUGUAUCCGCUGGUACUCGUUCAGACAUGCUGAACAGUGACAAUCCAAGCGGUGCGGACAAUCAGCAGGAAAGGCUUCUGGUAUGACUUCACUGAACGUAAAGAAGAUCCCUGAACGUAUCGGCUAUUACCUUGCGGGGUUUACCGAUGGGGAAGGAAGCUUCAAUCUGUCCUUUCGUAAACGCAAAGACUAUUCCAUGCCUUGGAAAGUCUCGUUGUGUUUCAAUGUUUCGCAAAAGGACAAGGUCAUUUUGACUUUGUACAAGCGGCACUUGAAAUGUGGCACGUUGCGUUCAAGAGAAGAUGGCGUUUGGUAUUACGAAGUCAAUAAUUUUACCGCGAUUCAAGAUAACGUUAUUCCUUUCUUCAAGAGAUUUGGUUUUCUGUCGGCAAAAAAGAAACGUGAUUUUGUGAAGUUCAUGCAAAUUGCGGAGUUGAUUGCAGAUGGCAAACAUCUUGAGAAGGUUGGAAUAAAGAGAAUUCUUGAUAUCCGGAAAACGAUGAACGACGGUGGAGUCGGAAGAAGAAAGUAUUCCGAUACCGAAAUUCUCCGUUUGGUAAAUACAGAAGAAUCCUCAGAGACUACACGCCAAGCACCUGCUAAUCGCAUAACCGAUGCCGUCUGAUUAGUAGCUGAAGAUAUAGUCCGAUCUGCAUAGCGAUAUGCAGGAUUCAAAAGAGAAACUUGCUACCGUUUGAAUCUAACCGGUUGAUCUGACCGGGGAUAACAAAGGAUGAACGGUCCUAAGGUAGCGAAAUUCCUUGUCGGGUAAGUUCCGACCUGCACGAAUGGCGUAACGAUGGCCACACUGUCUCCACCAGAGACUCAGUGAAAUUGAAAUUGCUGUGAAGAUGCAGUGUUCCCGUGGCAAGACGGAAAGACCCCGUGAACCUUUACUACAGCUUUACACUGAAUUUUGAACAUGCUUGUGUAGGAUAGGUGGGAGGCUUUGAAGCGAGGACGUCAGUUUUCGUGGAGCCAACCUUGAAAUACCACCCUGGUCUGUUUGAGGUUCUAACCCAGGCCCGUUAUCCGGGUCGGGGACAGUGUAUGGUGGGUAGUUUGACUGGGGCGGUCUCCUCCCAAAGAGUAACGGAGGAGCACGAAGGUACCCUCAGCGCGGUCGGAAAUCGCGCAUUGAGUGCAAAGGCAUAAGGGUGCUUGACUGCGAGACGUACAAGUCGAGCAGGUGCGAAAGCAGGUCUUAGUGAUCCGGUGGUUCUGUAUGGAAGGGCCAUCGCUCAACGGAUAAAAGGUACUCCGGGGAUAACAGGCUGAUACCGCCCAAGAGUUCAUAUCGACGGCGGUGUUUGGCACCUCGAUGUCGGGCUCAUCACAUCCUGGGGCUGUAGCCGGUCCCAAGGGUAUGGCUGUUCGCCAUUUAAAGUGGUACGCGAGCUGGGUUUAGAACGUCGUGAGACAGUUCGGUCCCUAUCUGCCAUGGGCGUUGGAGAUUUGAGAGGAGCUGCUCCUAGUACGAGAGGACCGGAGUGGACGUACCUCUGGUGUUCCGGUUGUCACGCCAGUGGCAUUGCCGGGUAGCUAUGUACGGAAGGGAUAACCGCUGAAAGCAUCUAAGCGGGAAGCCCCCCUCGAGAUGAGAUCUCCCUGGGUCCGCGAGGCCCCUGAAGGUCCGUUGAAGACUACGACGUUGAUAGGCUGGGUGUGGAAGCGCAGUAAUGCGUGUAGCUAACCAGUACUAAUUGACCGUGAGGCUUGAUC